rnacentral:rRNA from 1 species
UACAGGGGGGGCAAGCGUUGUUCGGAAUUACUGGGCGUAAAGGGUCUGUAGGUGGCCAACUAAGUCAGACGUGAAAUCCCUCAGCUUAACUGGGGAACUGCGUCUGAUACUGGAUGGCUCGAGUGUGGGAGAGGAAUGCGGAAUUCCAGGUGUAGCGGUGAAAUGCGUAGAUAUCUGGAGGAGCACCGGUGGCGAAGGCGGCAUUCUGGACCAUAACUGACACUGAGAGACGAAAGCCAGGGGAGCAAACGGG